rnacentral:rRNA from 1 species
CCUACGGGUGGCAGCCGUGGGGGAUAUUGCACAAUGGGGGGAACCCUGAUGCAGCGACGCCGCGUGGGUGAAGAAGCGCCUCGGCGCGUAAAGCCCUGUCAGCCGGGAAGAAAAUGACGGUACCUGAAGAAGAAGCCCCGGCUAACUACGUGCCAGCAGCUGCGGUAAUACGUAGGGGGCAAGCGUUAUCCGGAUUUACUGGGUGUAAAGGGGUCGUCGACGGUGAUGCAAGCCAGGAGUGAAAGCCCGGGGCCCAACCCCGGGACUGCACUUGGAACUGUGUGGCUGGAGUGCAGAGGGGGCAGGCGGAAUUCCUGGUGUAGCGGUGAAAUGCGUAGAUAGCAGGAGGAACACCGGUGGCGAAGGCGGCCUGCUGGACUGCAACUGACGUUGAGGCCCGAAGGCGUGGGGAGCAAACAGGAUUAGAUACCCUGGUAGUC